rnacentral:miRNA from 15 species
UGAGGAGGUAGCAGUAGCAGUGGAAGGGGCAUGCAGAGGAGAGGAGGGAAGGCGAAAGAAAUCCUAUCUCCUGUGCCUGCCCCUCCCACCCCUGCUGUUACGACUCG